CCUACGGGAGGCAGCAGUGAGGAAUCUUCGUCAAUGGACGGAAGCCUGAACCAGCCAAGUAGCGUGCAGGAUGACGGCCCUACGGGUUGUAAACUGCGUUUAUACGGGAAUAACGCGCCUUACGUAUAUGGCUUUGCAUGUACCGUAUGAAUAUAGACCGGCUAAUUCCGUGCCAGCAGCCGCGGUAAUACGGAAGGUCCGGGCGUUGUCCGGAUUUGUUGGGUUUAAAGGGAGCGUAGGCCGCAUGUCAAGCGUGCUGUGAAAUGUCCGGGCUCAACCCGGGCCUUGCAGCGCGAACUGGCGUGCUUGAGUGCGGGGAAGGCAGGCGGAAUUCGUCGUGUAGCGGUGAAAUGCGUAGAUAUGACGAAGAACCCCGAUUGCGAAGGCAGCUUGCUGCAGCGGAACUGACGCUGAUGCUCGAAAGCGUGGGUAUCGAACAGGAUUAGAUACCCUAGUAGUC
rnacentral:rRNA from 1 species